AUGGAGCUGCCAAUCAAAGAGAAACACCUCAAGCUGAUAGAAGAAGAGUUCAGAAGAGAAAUGCAAGCUGAUUCUCCAGAAGUUAAAAUCACCACACGUACCAACAUGGUGAUCUUGGAAGGCAGUGAUGAGAAAGUAAAGUCAGGAGCUGUAAAACUUGACGAGCUGGUCAAAAAGAUAAAAGUGAAGAGAGUUCAGCUCUCUCCGUGUUUGACUGCCUUCAUGAAAACCAGCGACGCCCUCUCCAAGUAUGAAGCUCGAUUUCAGCAGACUUUUAGAAGUCCUGUAUCCCUGGAGGUGGAUUUUGACCUGUGUCUGUCCAGUUUGUCUCCUGUUUCUCUGGAGGAGGCAGAGGCAGCACUGCUGAGAGACAUUAUUGUGAUCAGUGUUCAGCUGCAGGGGGAAGCCACGGUCCCUCCAGAGCUGAGAGGAAUCCUCAACAUGGCCAGAGAUGAGAUCAACUCUCUGGGUCUCCAAGUGGAGGUCAGCUUCAUCCCAGGUAUCAAUGAAACUACUGUGCAGCUAGUUGGCUACUCACAAGAGGUUACCAAACUUAAAGAGUUUCUUGAUGAUUAUCAGUUGAAUCAAGCUACAACUAAAGAGAUCCUCAAACUGCCAGAUCCAGAACUUGUGGAGUGCUUUGAUGAAAUGUUGAACAGGCUUGGAGUGAAUAUAACCAGAGUCACACUGCGGACCUCACACGUCCCAUAUCCAUGUGUGAUUCUCUCUGGUCUCAGGGGUCAAGUUGAGGACAUAUAUAAGACUCUCCAGCCUGUUUUAGCCAACCUAACAGUAGACUCUUUGGUCUUAAAUGGGCCAGGGGCUCUGCGAUACUUCCAGGGAGUUGGAAAAGUCAGCAAAGAUUUGGUUGAGACUUCCCAUAAGGUCAUUAUCAGGGAGCAGCAAGGGGUCCCAAAUGUAAACACCCAACAGCAAGGCAGCAGCAGCAUCACACACGUGACAUCACUCAGACCAUCCCUUAACAGACAGAGCAGGAGCUUUGUUGGAAGUCCAGCAGUCAGCCAAAUAAAUCUGAGGAUCAGGCUUUGCCGUCUAGAGGAUGAAGAGGUUUGGGAUUUUUUCUUUUAUUUUGCUGUACAUUGUUUCCAAAAUGCAACACUUUUGUUCAUACAUAUUCUCUUUUCUUUUACAGGUGGAUGUUUUUGUGGCUCCCAUUGUUAA
rnacentral:lncRNA from 1 species